rnacentral:rRNA from 1 species
CGUACCAACUACAUCCUAUGGCGUGCUCAAGCUAGAUCACAAAUCAUGGGAGCCGGUCUAUACGGCUACCUCGACCAAACCACCGAAGAACCCUCCAAAACCAUCAUCACCAAGACCACUGAUGGCAAGGAUCAGGUCGUCAUGAACCCUGCCUAUGCCCCCUGGUUGAUCCAGGAUCAACAAAUCGUAGCAUACCUUCUUAGGAAUCUGUCCAAGGAGGUUCUUGUCUAG